CUUUCACCAGCUCGCUCACAUCUCUACUUUCUCUCUCUGUCUGUCUCCGUUGGUGGCGCUGGGAUCCAUAGGCGUUCAGAGGACAAGAACUGGACAGGACACGCACCCUCAACACCACGUAGCAGCACUACCACAGACAUGUCGGACUCUGAAACCGCUGCCGCCCCUGCUGAGGCCCCCGUCCCUGCUGCUUGUGCAAACAUCAAGGCUGACCUGGACAAGUGUGUGGCAGAGAAGGGAGCCGGGGGCUGCAAAGAUCUGAUGGAGGCCUUCACUGCUUGUGUGAAGAGUGCAGCUGAAGGGACGUCAUGAGGAGUCGCCCUCCAGCCUCAAAUGUCCACUGCACUGAGUCCUCCAAGUUCCCAGCAUUUUCCUUCUGCACAACAGCACUGGACCGAUGACAACAACUCGAAUGAUGAAAAUGAUGAUGAUCAUCACAGAGAGGCAAACACUGUGUUGAUUUGGGCCGAGUUUGGGAUCUGGUGGCAGAAACCACAGUUUCCUCCCCCCUGUCCUCCCCCUCAUGUUUUAGGCUUUUCUGGGUCCCGCAGUCUUACCCCCUAUUCCCCUCGUCCCUAUGGCUGAUAUACAUUAUAAUGACAAUUCCAGAGAGCCAAUGGGCUGUGAUGUAAAUUGUCGACUUGAAAUGAAUACUUAUAAAUGGAAAUAAAAAGUAUGAAAUACUUGGUAUAAAAACCAA